GAAACUGCGAAUGGCUCAUUAAAACAGUUAUAGUUUAUUUGAUGGUCUUUUUACAUGGAUAACCGUGGUAAUUCUAUGGCUAAUACAUGGUCCAGGGCCGUUUUGAGGUCGCGUUUAUUAGAUCUUAACCAAACCUUCUGGUAUUCGGUGAUUCAUAAUAAAUUAGCGAAUCGCAUGGCUUUGCCGGCGAUGUAUCAUUCAAGUUUCUGACCUAUC
rnacentral:rRNA from 1 species